UGGGGAAUAUUGCACAAUGGGCGAAAGCCUGAUGCAGCGACGCCGCGUGAGGGAUGACGGCCUUCGGGUUGUAAACCUCUUUCAGCAGGGACGAAGCGCAAGUGACGGUACCUGCAGAAGAAGCACCGGCUAACUACGUGCCAGCAGCCGCGGUAAUACGUAGGGUGCAAGCGUUGUCCGGAAUUACUGGGCGUAAAGAGUUCGUAGUCGGUUUGUCGCGUCGUUUGUGAAAACCAGCAGCUCAACUGCUGGCUUGCAGGCGAUACGGGCAGACUUGAGUACUGCAGGGGAGACUGGAAUUCCUGGUGUAGCGGUGAAAUGCGCAGAUAUCAGGAGGAACACCGGUGGCGAAGGCGGGUCUCUGGGCAGUAACUGACGCUGAGGAACGAAAGCGUGGGUAGCGAACAGG
rnacentral:rRNA from 1 species